rnacentral:rRNA from 1 species
GGGCUGCGGUGCUAUACUGCAGUCGACGCUUCUUUUUCCCCGGAGCUUGCUCCACCGGAAAAAGAGGAGUGGCGAACGGGUGAGUAACACGUGGGUAACCUGCCCAUCAGAAGGGGAUAACACUUGGAAACAGGUGCUAAUACCGUAUAACAAUCAAAACCGCAUGGUUUUGAUUUGAAAGGCGCUUUCGGGUGUCGCUGAUGGAUGGACCCGCGGUGCAUUAGCUAGUUGGUGAGGUAACGGCUCACCAAGGCCACGAUGCAUAGCCGACCUGAGAGGGUGAUCGGCCACAUUGGGACUGAGACACGGCCCAAACUCCUACGGGAGGCAGCAGUAGGGAAUCUUCGGCAAUGGACGAAAGUCUGACCGAGCAACGCCGCGUGAGUGAAGAAGGUUUUCGGAUCGUAAAACUCUGUUGUUAGAGAAGAACAAGGAUGAGAGUAACUGUUCAUCCCUUGACGGUAUCUAACCAGAAAGCCACGGCUAACUACGUGCCAGCAGCCGCGGUAAUACGUAGGUGGCAAGCGUUGUCCGGAUUUAUUGGGCGUAAAGCGAGCGCAGGCGGUUUCUUAAGUCUGAUGUGAAAGCCCCCGGCUCAAC